UACGUAGGGUGCAAGCGUUGUCCGGAAUUAUUGGGCGUAAAGAGCUUGUAGGCGGUUUGUCGCGUCUGCUGUGAAAUUUCGGGGCUCAACCCCGAACUUGCAGUGGGUACGGGCAGACUAGAGUGUGGUAGGGGAGACUGGAAUUCCUGGUGUAGCGGUGAAAUGCGCAGAUAUCAGGAGGAACACCGAUGGCGAAGGCAGCUCGCUGGGACGUUACUGACGCUGAGACGCGAAAGCGUGGGGAGGCAAACAGG
rnacentral:rRNA from 1 species